GCAAUAGUAGCUCAACGUUAAAGCACCGGUCUUGUAAACCGGACAUUAGGGGUUAAACUCCCCUCUACUGCU
rnacentral:tRNA from 1 species